CAUGGUGGCGAGAUGGCUGCUGCUGUAAUGCCAAGUAUCCGUCCUCAACAGCAUCCAUGACAGAAGAUUAGAAUUGGAUUUAUUUGAUGGUGCAGUACAUCUACGCAGUGAGAAGGCCAAUUUGACUCAUUCCCAAGUUCAGGAGAGAUAUCUGCACAUCGGCUGUGUAGUAUCUUCAGGGAUGCAUGAAUAUAACCAAAGACAAAUG
rnacentral:lncRNA from 1 species